GCCUCCGGGCUGUCCCGGAGGCCGCGCGAGCGGCCGUGAGACUGGGCGGGCGGGACGGGUGGAGCGUGGCGCGUCCCGUCCGAGGAGCGUGGGUGCGGGGCACCCUCUGCGUGCGCGUGGGCACGUGCGUGAGUCAGUGUCACACUGCCCGCCUCCUGCUGGGCUCGGCGCCAGGACUCUGCAGGCAGCCCUUCCACCGCCCGGCUUCCCUCCUUGUCGCGGGACAGCCGGGUGACCGGCCCGCCAAGCAGCCCUCCCUCCAUGUGCUCCGAGCUCGCCCUCUGCCCUUCCGGGAGGAGUCGCGGCAUCCUGCCGAGUCCUCGGAACCCUGUCCCCAAAUUACCGGGUACUCGGGCUUGCCGAUGGAAAAGCUCUCCCAAUCCAGCACCGCCUAAACUCGGAGUUGGAGAACCGACACUUGAGCACUGUGGUGCAAAUAAAACCCGCUUUCUCCCAA
rnacentral:lncRNA from 1 species